rnacentral:rRNA from 1 species
UACGUAGGGGGCAAGCGUUGUCCGGAUUUACUGGGCGUAAAGAGCGUGUAGGCGGCCACGCAGGUCCGUUGUGAAAACUGGAGGCUCAACCUCCAGCUGUCGACGGAAACCGUGUGGCUAGAGUCCGGAAGAGGCGAGUGGAAUUCCUGGUGUAGCGGUGGAAUGCGCAGAUAUCAGGAGGAACACCGAUGGCGAAGGCAGCUCGCUGGGACGGUACUGACGCUGAGACACGAAGCGUGGGUAGCAAACAGG